UGUGGCAGCAUUAAAUGAUUGUGUGAUAUGACUGUAACAUUAAAGAAUGUUAUUCAGACGAUUUUUGUGUAUGUUUGAGAAAUUUUUAUUAACUUUUGCCAAAAAAAAAGGUGUAAAGAUUCUCCAUUUUCAACAAGAUUGGAAGUAAUAAGUUAACUUGUAGCUGAAAUUUUAUUUUUUAUGCCCCAUUUAUGGGCAUUAUGUUUUUCGGUCUGUACAUCCAUUCUUUCGUUCGUCUGUCCAUCCGCCUGUCCCGCUUCAGGUUAAAGUUUUUGGGCAAGGUAGUUUUUGAUGAAGUUGAAGUCCAAUCAACUUGAAACUUAGUACACAUGUUCCCUAUGAUAUGAUCUUUCUCAUUUUAAUGCUAAAAUUAGAGUUUUGACCCUAAUUUCACGGUCCACUGAACAUAGAAAAUGAUAGUGCGAGUGGGGCAUCCGUGUACUAUGGACACAUUCUUGUUUUUAAUCUUUUUUCCAUCUAAGCCCCAUGGCAAUACUCUAAUAGCUCUACUGGUGUCCAUUAUUGUCUUGACAUUUCUUUUGUCUUGCAGAGCUUCUUUGACCAAAUACUUUUAUAAAUAUUUUUAUGGUCACAUUCUAGUAGUACAUACUGAUAACAAAGGGUCAUUUACUUUAAUUAAAGACCAGCAUGCAUGUACUUUAAAUUGCUCAAUUGUACCCCAAGGGUGACUGGGGAAUAGAAAUGUGCUCACCUGGUCAUCUGACCAGCAGGACAACCCUUGCCAAUCUUUUUUCCAUCUAAGUACCAUUGCAAUACUCAUAGCUCUACUCAUGUCCAUUAUUGUCUUGCAGAGCUUCUUUGACCAAAUACUGUUAUAAAUAUUGUUAUGGUUACUUUCUAGUAGUACACACUGAUAACAAAGGGUCAUUUACUUAAAUUAAAGACCAGCAUACAUCUACUUUAAAUUGCUCAAUUGUACCCCAAGGGUGACUGGGGAAUAAAAAUAUGGUCACCUGGUCAUCUGACCAGCAGUAAAACCCUAUUCUCAGGCUGGCCUGUGCAGGAUGUACAAGUAUGCAGCCAAGUCCGAUCAGAAUGGGGACAUUAAAUCUGAUGCCUCCUGUUAAUAUAUUUGAAAAUCAGGACAUUAUGGAAGUAUUGGCAUAUCUAGUUUACAAGCAGAAAAUCAGCACUGUGAAAUUUUGGUUUCUGAACUUUGUUUUGGUUGAGUGCAUAUGAAUAUUUAUAGAAACUGAAUUGUGUCAAUCCUAGAGAAUCAGAUAAUCCCUUCAGGGAUUUUGGGACCAGAGAGAUUUUUCCGUUUGGCCGCCAACACAAUCAGAAAAAUCUGCCUGGGUUUCUGAAUCCCCAAAGAGAUAAUCUGGUUUUCUAGGGUUGACAAAAUUCAGCUUCUAUAAGCGUUCAUAUGCACUUAUAGAAAAUUGGGUACCUGUUAAUCAUAACGCCAGAUAUCGUUCAACAGAAUUAGUGUUCUAACUAAUCUUUUUUUUUGGAAGAAUGUGAAAAUGAUCAGCAGGCUGAGGCUUAUAUUUAACAAAAUUUUCAGAAAAUUGGUCUACCCAAAUUGGAGUAAUUGUCCAGAAAUGUAAAUCAUUCGAAAAUUUGAGGUUUUAGUUAUCUUGAAUACUUUCACAGUGGAGUUUUAAACAGUAAAAAUGAACUAAACAAUAAGAUCUACAAAAAGUCAACUUGGCAGAAAUUGUCAAACGACCCUUUGUAGGAGUUGUUGAUUUUAAAUGAUGAUUUUUACCCUUUUUGCAUUUUUAUUUAGGAAAUAGUCAAUGGAGAGAACAUUUCAAUAGUAAAGAUGUUCAACUAAAUAUGACCUACGAAUAAGUCAAUAAAUAUGGAUGAAUCGUCAAUUAACCCCUAAUAGGAAUCAUUGCCCUUGAAGAACUAUUUUUUCUUUUUUGAUUUUGUUUGAAGAAGAUAGAGAGAAAAUGUUAAAGCAAAAGUGUACAGCUAAAUAAGAUCUAAAAAUGAGUCAAUUUGAGUGAAAUUGUUAAUCGAUUGCAUGUCUAUACUUUCAUCAUAGAUACCAGGGUUAAAAAUUUAAGUUUACAAUUUAAUUUGAAGAUCCACUUUAUAUAUAUUAGUAGUGGUAUGUGUCUAGUCAGUACACUUCCAGUAGGUUAAGAAUGGAGAAUCUUAAAAAAAAAAAAAAAAAGAAAGAAAGAAAAUUAGGAAAAAUAAGAGAUAAACAAAUGUUGUUUUACUGAAAUUAUUUUUUUGGGGAAACAUAUCUCUUUUCCAACUUUUAUGUCUUUUAUGUUGAGUUUGUAACGAGGAAUAAAAAUUUGUAAGAAUAUUUUACAAGAUGCAUAUUUGAAGAAUAUCUUGGUGAAAAUAGAUUGAUUGAGUAUUGGUGUUUAACACCACUUUAAGCGCGAUUGGCCACCAUGGUCAGAAGAAAAUUUUCUCAUUUUCAUGAAAUCUUGAGUACUAUUUAUGGUAUUGAAAUGUAUUGAAUUUUGUUAUCAAAUUAUUUUUUAAUUUUAAUUAUGCUAUAUUUUGUAUAAAUAUCAGAUGUAUACUAACUUAAAUUAACUAUUAUUUGGAGCUCUGUAAAUAAAAAAUGUAAACAGAAGUCUUGAUAAUAGAUCUGUAGGGUGGGAGAAAUCAUGGGUCACUAAGGGGAUUUGGUAAAAAAGCUAUUAUUGAAAAGUGCAUCUGAUAUUUUUUUAAUGUAUAACUGUAUUUAGAAAAACAAAUGGACAAAAAAAUAAAUUGUCAAUAAGAUGAGGACGGCCACCUUGGCAGCCAGGAGAACAACUCAAAGGAAGAUGGUCAAUUAAAUCUUAACCAAGUCUGAGGCUUUACCAAGAAAAAUAUGUGGUUGUUGCAAUGACAAUAUUUUCAUGGUGUUGGGAGUAAGAUUUGGAUAUCGGAUACUGUUAACAUGUUGGUUAGCAUCACAAGUUUCUGUAGGGUUACUUGCUGGGAUAGUAAUUAGAGAUGUUUUAAGUUGAAAGUGUUACUGUUGCUGCCUUGUAUGGUUAAAUCCUCAGACAAUAAUCCUGCAAACCAUUGGAUGAACUGUUGCUUUCAAUUUUGAUAGAAUCCAUAGACAGUAGUCCUGUAAGCAGAAAAAUGAAUUAACAAAUUUUGAUUUUUUAUUGCUGUAUUGAGUUAUCCAAAUUAUAAGUAUUUUUUUCACUGUUUUUACUUGCAUUCAUUUAUUGUAUUGUGAUUGAUGAAAAAUAAAACUGUGAAAUUAUUUUUAUUUGAGGGGUCUUAACAGUAUGCCAUAUGAUUUCACAAAAUACCCAUAAGACUCAUCAGUUUACAUAUAUGUUUUAAGUUAUGUACGUGUAAGUCUUACAAGUGCUUUGUGAAAUGAAUUUUGCAGGUUAGAAACCAAUAAAUGUAGGACUUUGAUGGCCAAACACUAAAGGGAAUAUAUAUAAAAAGAUCCCCUGUUUUUUUAUUCAACUGGAACUGGAAUAAAAAUGUUUGGUUAGGUUGUUGGGUUUGACUCCACUUUCAGUACAUCUAUCCAACUAAAUGGCUGUCAGUUUUAUUUAUUGGUUUUGUUUAUAUAUUAUAAAUGCAUUAUUCAGCAUCUGAGGCCACUCAAAUGAAAAUAAUUACACAAUUUUUUGCAGCUUUGUUUUAUUAUUUCAUUUUUAUGUGAUUGAUUUUUAUGUUUUUUCUCAUUCAUUAUUAUUUAUAUUUUAAGGACAUAUUUUAAGGUUUGCUUUUUGAAGAUUGUACUCAACUUUUAAAGAUCCACUUUUUUACCCUACCCAAGAUUAAUUGGAUGGAAAGAUAACUGUUUAAUGUCCAGUUACAAAUUAAAUGCAUAUUCAGGAUGAGAACAUGAAAAUGUGAUAUGGAUAUAGACCCUGCUUUGUACUAGACCAGCAUGCUGAGCUGUAUUUUUUAAUGUACUAGUUCAUAAUGUAACAAACAGACAACACAGUGGCGGAUCCAGAACUUUUUAUUAGGGGGGGCCCACUGACUGCCAUAAGAAGGGGGCCCGCUACAGUUAUGCUUCUGUGAUUCCCUUUAUAAUCAACCAAAAUUUGGAAUGUGUUCAUUAAAACUUUCAGAUUAUCUACUGUAACUGAUGGCAGUGUGUAUUUCAUUUUUAUUAUAAUAAAAUGUUGGGGUUCCCAAUAGAAAUGAAUGGACCUUCUAAAUAUUUUGAUUAACUUGGAAAGGAAGCAUCUCUUACAACAAUUUGAUCAUGUGAAGGAUAGGUUGGUUUGAAUAAUUUUUAUAGUGUUUUUAAUCUUGUUUUUAAUAGUUGGAUCUCAUUAUGACAAAAUUUUCAUAACAUUAACACAAAUUCAAAAUAAAUUCUGCUUUAAAAUACUAAUAUAUCACCCCUGUAGCUUUUUUGUAUACUUUUCAAAGCUUUGCUAUAACAAGAUUUGUGUUUUAUCUGGUUUUAUAUGAUUUUAGUGGUUUUUAUGUGAUUUUAUUUGUUUUUAUUGUCAAGUCUUGUUAUAUCAAGCCUUAAUAUGAGUUUGUGGGGGAAAUUGAUAGAUUUUGCAUAUACAUGCAGUACAAAAUAUUUAUUUACGUAAUGAGAUCCGACAUUUUUAUGCUUUUAGCUCUUUCUUAAAGGAUUGAAUAGAAAAUGAAUGAAUUAAACUUGAUGUAGCCGUUGAAGAUUGACCAAAUUGCAAGAUUUAUGGAUGCAAGUUCAGAAUCUGCUCUUACAAAAUAUAUGAUCAUAUCAGCUGAACCAUCCUAUCCUUCAAUAUGAGUAAUAAGAUGUAAGAAAUGUUUAAAUCCAUUCUUCAAUAAGAGAACCUUAAGAAAUUUAUAAUGAUACACAAUGUCAACACACACACUGAAGAUUAUUUGAAAGUUUAGGAAAGGUCCAUAUAAUCCUUUAAUUGUGGAUUAAAUUUGAAGAUGGAUGAGUAAACAGAUGAUACACUGAUACAUAUUCUAAUGGAUAAAUAAUGAAAUUAUAACUGUACUAGUUAUCUCCCUUCCAAGGAAAAAAGUACUUGUCCUUGGAAAAAAUAUAUAUACUACUUAUAUAUAAAAAAAAUAAUUUGCAUAGAAAAGAAACUUUAUAUAAUAAACCUGCUUGGGGUUAAUAAUGAGGAAUUAAAUGCAGUUAACUAUUUCUUUGGUGAUGUAAUAAUUUUUGCACAGGUUAAGAUAUUUAGUUUAUUUUAAUUACCAAGUGAAUAUGUUGAGUACACCUCAUAAAUGAAUUUGAUUCGUGUAUUUUAAAACCUUUUUUAUUGUAGUUUUUACCAUAGUUUUCAUUUUGUAUAAGAAUUGUAAUGUUUUUGAAUGUCCUUUUUAAAAGUUGAGACAAACUGAUGAUUCUUUUUUUUUUAUGGAGUUCUAUCCUUUUUUUAUAAGUUUAGUAAGCAGUGGAAAGCCUCAAGUUGAUAAUUAAACAAAGAAACGUUACUUUGAUUGGAACUAAUGAUAUCAAAAUUUGGUACAUGUAUCUUAAAACCAAUCCUUUUCCAGUCUGAGAACUGGUAUCCAUGAAAUUAGAAAGAAUCCUCAGUAAUGUUCGAUAUUUUGUAUAAUUGUUAUGUCUUCCUGAUGAUACCUUACCCAUGAUGCAGUUAAUUUUCAUCCUUUUAGUUGUGAAGUUGAUGUACAACCGUUGCCAAAAGCUUAAUUAUUACUAGUUACUGUAAAUUAAGAAAUUAUUGCGAGGUUUUUAUUAAUUCAAAUAAUGCGACUUGAUGAUGAUCGCAAUAAUAAGAACUCGCAUUCUGAUAUCUGAUAUGUAUAUAUGUAGGCAGAUUUUACUGAAAUUGCAAUGAUUAAUCUAACAUUUUUGUCCAUUCUUCAAAAAUCGCAAUAAAAAAUGCACACAAUAAUUUCUGAACUUACAGUAUAUCUAUUUCUUUGAUAUUUAUACACACUUGAUGAAGCAGAUUGUGUCUUGUUUCUUUUGGGUAUUGUGUAUCAUGA